rnacentral:rRNA from 1 species
AUUGAACGCUGGCGGCAGGCCUAACACAUGCAAGUCGAGCGGAGCGGCGGACGGGUGAGUGAUGUCUGUGACUCUGCCUGGUCGCGGGGGAUAACGUCCGGUAACGGGCGCUGAUACCGCAUACUAUCAGAUGAGCCUAGGUCGGAUUGGCUGGUUGGUGGGGUAAAGGCCUACCGAGGCGACGAUCCGUAGCUGGUCUGAGAGGAUGAUCAUUAACACUGGAACGGAGACAAGGUCCAGACUCCUACGGGAGGCAGCAGUGGGAAAUAUUGGACAAGGGGCGAAAGCCUGAUCCAGCCAUGCCGCGUGUGUGAAGAAGGGCUUCGGAUUGUAAAGCACUUUAAGUUGGGAGGCGUUACCAACAGAAUAAGCACCGGCUAACUACGUGCCAGCAGCCGCGGUAAUAC